rnacentral:misc_RNA from 1 species
CUGGAAUGAAUGAUUGGACGAAAUAAUAACUGUCUUAGUUUAAAUUUUAGAAUUUUAUUUUUAAGUUAAAAAGCUUAAAUUUUUUUAAAAGACGAGAAGACCCUAUAGAAUUUUAUAUUAUUUAAAUUUUUUAUUAUUAGUAAUUUUAUAUAGAAAAUUAUAAAGAGUAUUUAGUUGGGGUGACUGAAAAAUUAAAUUAACUUUUUUUUGUAUUUAACAUUGAUGUAUGAUUUUUUGAUCCAUAUUUUUUGAUUAUAAGAUUAAAUUACCUUAGGGAUAACAGCGUAAUUUUUUUAGAGAGUUCGAUGUUGAAUUAAAGUUUAUUUUUAAUGCAGGAGUUAAAAUAUUAGGUCUGUUCGACCUUUAAAACUUUACAUGAUCUGAGUUUAAACCGGUGUGAGCCAGGUUGGAUUCUAUCUUUAAUAAAAUUAAAUAUUUUAGUACGAAAGGACCAAGUAUUUGUUAUAAUAAUUUAUUUUAGGAUAAUAUUAUUAUUUUGGCAGAUUAGUGCUUUAAAUUUAGAAUUUAAUUAUGUGUAUAUUAACACAAGUAAUAC